GGCAGAAUUUUGGAUAAGCAAAUAUGUUGGAUAAUAAGGAGAGAUUAAGGAAAAGCCUAUUAAACAUCAAAUUAGGUUAUGAUUUUACAAAUUAAGCACCAAAACAUCAUGUUAUACAACAAAUUUGACAGAAAAAGUAAUUCAAUACACAGUAAUGCUAUGUAGUAAUUACUGUAUUUAUGAAUUUAGCUCCAAAAUAUCAUGAUGUAUUGAAAACAUUGACUACAAAAAUGCGUUGGAUAAUCCAGAACGUUGGAUAAGCGAGUGUUGGAUAAGUGAGAUUCUACUGUAAUGUUAUGGUUGGGGGUCACCACUAUAAGGGGUCUUGGCAUUAGGAAAGUUGAGAACCAAUGCUCUAAUGGCUCAUGAUUUCUGUGCCUAUCCAUCUCACCCAGAAGAACUCCAAUGAUUCUGUUUUUCUAUGCUCAUUGAUUCGUCUCUGUUGCAGUCGGUGAGCAAAUGAGAUGGUUCUCCAGAGAUUAUUGACAUCUGGUGUGAACUAUCCUUUCACUUAGAACACAUCCUUCUAAUCGCUCGUGAUUUCUGUGCUUAUCCGUUUCACCCAAGGCCCAGAAAUGAUGUGCCCAAAGAGGUGCAAAGGUUCAUCUUACAUCACCAGCAUUGUAUUUCUCAUAAUACCGGCCAGACGGGACAACGACCCAAAGGCUUCCCGUUCUGCUGACUCAGGCCUCCUCUCGUGACUCAACGGACGGCACCACAAUGUUUUUGCAUUUCAUUUGUGUGCCUACGUGCGUGCGUGAGCACCGAGGGAGCACCAAGGGAAGUCCCUCCAAUGGCAGAAAACCAGCGUUAACUGUUGCACAUGUUGUUGUGACACAUGCCCUCGGGGCUAGCGGUCGCGCAUGAUUGAAUCACGGCGGGAUAAGAGAUCCUGGGUGCCGACAGAUGGCUUGCGUUGUCAGGAGUAUUUUCACAUCGGGGAGCUAGAAAUUUGGUCAAGCUGACAUGGCCCACCGCCAAACGCAACCGGAGCCAACCUGCGUGUGCGCUCGAGAGCCGCAGCCAAAGUUGUGGUUGGAACAAUUUAUGUAUUUGUAAACAUAUACAUCUCACUGCCUCAGAAAAGCUUGAGUCGGCUGAUAAUAACAAGGAGUCAAGCGACGGAACCACAAGAAUCAUUUCUGAAACACUCCAAAAUUCAAAUACAAGCCCUCUGCAAAAUAUGCAAAGAACCACAGGAUGGCUGAAGUCUCUCACUGGGAUUGCACAAUGCACAAUGCAAAUUGCAGAAUGUGGAGUCAUUGUGCUGCUAUUAUUAUUAUUAUUAUUAUUAUUAUUAUUAUUAUUAUUAUUUAUACAACACAGCAAACAAGAUAGAUAUGCUGGAUUUCGUAUCACAAAAUCACAAGUCGAACACUUCCCAAGUGUCUAGGACUGUGUGAUGUAUUUUCAGAUGAUGCGUGCAGAUCCCAGUUAUUAUUGAUGUUAUUUGUAUUAUUAUUAUUAUUAUUAUUAUUAUUAUUAUUAUUAUUAUUAUUAUUAUUAUAUUGUAUGACACAGCAA
rnacentral:lncRNA from 11 species